rnacentral:rRNA from 1 species
UGGGGAAUAUUGCACAAUGGGCGCAAGCCUGAUGCAGCAACGCCGCGUGCGGGAUGACGGCCUUCGGGUUGUAAACCGCUUUCACCCAUGACGAAGCGUGAGUGACGGUAGUGGGAGAAGAAGCACCGGCCAACUACGUGCCAGCAGCCGCGGUGAUACGUAGGGUGCGAGCGUUGUCCGGAAUUAUUGGGCGUAAAGAGCUUGUAGGCGGUUGAUUGCGUCGAAAGUGAAAUUCCAGGGUGCUUAACUCUGGGCUUGCUUUCGAUACGGGUCGACUUGAGGAAGGUAGGGGAGAAUGGAAUCCUUCCCGGUGGAGCGGUGGAAUGCGCAGAUAUCGGGAGGAACACCAGUGGCGAAGGCGGUUCUCUGGACCUUUCCUGACGCUGAGAAGCGAAAGCGUGGGGAGCAAACAGGCUUAGAUACCCUGGUAGUCCACGCCGUAAACGGUGGGUACUAGGUGUGGGUCUCAUUCCACGAGAUCCGUGAAGUCCGUAGCUAACGCAUUAAGUACCCCGCCUGGGGAGUACGGCCGCAAGGCUA